GGCACUUGUCCUCCACUUGCUCUCAGGCCUUGCGUCUACAGUCUACGUUCGUCACCAUCCACUGGACAGAGGGGCUUUUCUGAUUAAGGCAGACAGUAGCAUUUUUGCUACGGAUAUAACACAAAUAUUACAGGACUAUAGCAAUACCAAUACUGUGGUGCUGGAGCAGUCAGACACACAGAAAAACAGGAAGGAAUAGAAGACCCAGACUCAAAUCGAUGCAACGGCAGCCACCACAGUUUUGACAAAGUCUCCAAAAAUACACAAUCUGGGAAAGAUAGGAUCUUCAACAAAUGGUCCUGGGAAAAUGGAAUGUUCAUGUGUAGAAGGAACUUAACUCCUAUUCCACACUUAGUAUAACUCUAAAUGGACCAGUGACUUCAACACAGAACCUGAACCUGAGACGUUCUUACAAGAGAGGGUAGGAUUCAUUACAGCACACACACGGCACACGGCACACACACAUUCAGCAUACAUACACAGCACACACACAGCACACGGCACACAGCAUACAAAUACAGCAUACAGCACACACACACAUACAGCACACACACACACAGCACACACACAUUCAGCAUGCAUACACAGCACACACACAGCACACGGCACACAGCAUACAAACACAGCAUACAGCACACACAGCACACACACAUACAGCACACAUACAUAGCACACACACACACAGCAUACAGCACACACACACACACACAGCACAUGGCACACAGCAUAUAUACACACAGCAUACAGCGCACACACACAACACACAGCACACAACAUACAGCACACAUACACAGCACACACACACAGCACACACACAGUGCACGCACACAAACACACAGCAUGCACAGCACACACACAGCAUACAGGACACACAGUACACAUAGCACACAUACAUAGCACACACAAAACAUACAGCACACACACACAGCACACACACAACAUACAGCACACACACACAGCACAUACACAGCAUACACACACAACACACACACACAGCACACACACACAGCACACAACAUACAGCACCACACACAGCACAGACACACACAGCAUACACAGCACACACACAGCACACAACAUACAGCACACAUACACAGCACACAUGCACAGCACACACACAGAGCAUACACACAGCAUACAGCACACAAAGCACACAUAGCACACACAUACCACAGCACACACACACACACCACAGCACAUAGCACAGUACACACAACACACAGCAUAGAGCAUACAGUGAGAACUCGGAUCAGGAAAUAUAGCUAACGGUUGACCAAUGUGACCUCAUGAACCUGAAAGGCUUCUGUCCACAAAGGAAACAGACAGUUCGGAAGAGGCAGCCUGCAGGACAGAAAUGCUUUGUCUGGGAAGACAUUUAGCAUAGAUUUAUAAGCACCAAGAUUAAGAGAAAGGAAGCCCUUGGGAAGAACCUACCCCCCCCCGAAAACAUUAGUGUGCACUUCUCAAAGAGGAUGUGCACGUACGAGUCCUAACAGUGGCUGCAUGUGGGAUGCUGGAGACUUUCUGGGAUUUUAUUGUUCAGCCAGUCUCAAGGGGAUUCCUACCCCAUAGCAUACCUGCAUCUCUCCUCUUUAUGACACCCAAGAUGAAUAAAGGCUACAGAGACUCUUCCGAUGGGAUCACAAUCCAAUAAAGUAAAACCAGGAACUGCUAGAACUUCACGUGUAGGUUAGGAUGAGUCCUUUCACUACAAAUGGGGUUCAGGUGCCAGGUCUAAAAGAUCAUUAGAAGGUAGAUCGGCCUUCCGUGGCUGUUGUGUUGGAAGUCUUGGUUCUUGGUGGAGUCUGUAGUGAGACCUCCCAUCCUUCCCAUGGUUCGCCUGUCUGUCUAGCUACCUCACUAAUUAAGCUCACCUUGUUCUGUUUUAUUUUUCUGUUUACUUUAAAAAUAUAUUCUCCCAUCCAUGUUAGCAUUCUAUUGAUGGUGUCC
rnacentral:lncRNA from 1 species